CGGUGACAUCCCUGGAGAGUUUGAUCCACGGUCGCUGUCUGUCUGUCUUCCUCCUGUUGCUGCUGUCGCACAUCGAGGCGCGCAGACUCACUGACGGAGAGACAGGCAGGUCACCGUCAUCCGCUCUGGAGGAGGAGGAGGGACACGCGGCAGAGGAAGUAGAGGGGCUCGAUAAACCCUGGGGCCCUUCUCACAACCCCCCUCUUCCCAUAGCUGUCGCUGCCUCGGAUCUGUGUGCGUCUGAACUGCACUGCCUGAUGAUGGUGUGCUAGCCUGUCAACAAGAAGGAGCAAGGGGUUAACAUUUUGCACAUAAUCCUCAUGUUGGCUCUACUGUGAAUACCAAGGAGAGCUAAAGAAGACUUACACGAUGAACUGAGGGCCUUUCUUCUCCCCCGCCACCGCCUGCGGCUCUGCAGAGCGCGCCUGGAAGAGAGGACAGAAACGUAACAUCAUUUUAGUUUUCUAUAGAAUACAACAAAUGGGCCUAAAAAGAUACAUGUAAUACAAUAAAUCAGCAUUAUACAGUAUUUUCAUGGAUGAUUAAGUGACAUUUUCUUCUUCUUUUACAUUACUGACAAGCAUUUUCAAAACCAGUUCUCGUCAUAAUUAUUACUUUUCAGGUAAGAAAAGUCAAUUCAAAGGCUUAAGACUAUAAUUUUUACAUCUGGGUUAAAAUGGUUGAAAUGCAGCUUUAAAUGUUUCUGUCUUACACUGCUCGAGCAUUCAUUUGUUUGAGGGAAAAUCAGUCAUUUUAAAAAACUGUUAAACAUGAAAGAAAAAAAUAUAGUUAAUGUAGUAAAAAAUAAAUGCAUUACUGAGGUACACUGAGGCUGCAACUAAUGAUUAUCUCAUCCUCAAGUAAUAUGCAAAUAAUUCAUUACAUACUUGAUUACUUGUUAGGUUUGCAAAAUAUUAGGAAAAACAUUUCAUCUCAGUUUUUCCUAAGUGCAAGUUGCCUGUUAUGUCCAAACAACAAUUCAAACCCAAAUAUAUUGACAUUGUUUUCAUUGACUAAUAAACCAUCAAAUAUUUACAUCUGAGAAGCUAAAACCAGGCGAUGUUUGGCACUGAAAAUUAUGUAUUUUGUUAAUUUACUGACCAAACUUUAAUAAACGUAUUGUUCCAGUGCAUUUGGCCUUAAAUGCAUAAUACACAGAUAUAGUCCUUUAAAAAAGAGCAAC